UAGGGAAUCUUCGGCAAUGGACGGAAGUCUGACCGAGCAACGCCGCGUGAGUGAAGAAGGUUUUCGGAUCGUAAAGCUCUGUUGUUAGAGAAGAACGUUGGUAGGAGCGGAAAAUCUACCAAGUGACGGUAACUAACCAGAAAGGGACGGCUAACUACGUGCCAGCAGCCGCGGUAAUACGUAGGUCCCGAGCGUUGUCCGGAUUUAUUGGGCGUAAAGCGAGCGCAGGAGGUUCUUUAAGUCUGAAGUUAAAGGCAGUGGCUUAACCAUUGUACGCUUUGGAAACUGGAGUGCUUGAGUGCAGAAGGGAAGAGUGGAAUUCCAAGUGUAGCGAUGAAAUGCGUAUAUAUAUGGAGGAACACCGGUGGCGAACGCAGCUCUCUGGUCUGAAACUGACGAUGAGGCUCGAAAGCGUGGGGAGCAAACAGG
rnacentral:rRNA from 1 species